GCCUGCUUGCCGUAGGUGCAGGGUGUCCCAAGAUAGGGGUUGCCCGAUAUGGGGCGUGCGAACAGUCCAGAGAAGCUGGCAGGGAAGAGGCGACUCAGCGCUUUUCUCUUCCGUAAUCCUUUCCCCGGGACCACAAAUCCCAGAAGUCACUGCGGCCGCCCCCACCCCAUUAUUACCCUCCAAGGCUGGUAGUCCGGGCCUCCCGGGCAAGGAGCGCCCUCUAGCGGCAGACGAGAGCGUCGGCGCGUGGGCGCCCACAACUCGGCAGCGCGGAAAGCUACGGCUGCGCCGGCUGAGUGCGCGCGGAGAGGACAGCCCUGGCGGUACCACGAGGUCCAUCCAGUCAGCAGGUCUUGGAGUUAAGUCAACAGGAGAAGAGUCAAGUGACGUUACAGAUGAGAUAUACGUCUGAUUUCUUUCUUCCUUCGCCCUCCAUCUCAGAGAAGUGUGCUGUCUAGCCGUUAGAAGACCAAAAGAGAAAUUUCCAUAAGGGAAAAAAAGGAAAGAAAAAUGAUGGUAGAAGAAACAAAGUUUGCAGUUUUUUAAAAAAUCUUCAUCAGAAAUGACCUGCCCAAAUUUGAGAAGGAGAUUUGUCAUCAUCACUUUUGCCUUAUUUAAACUAUUCCGUGGAACCAUAUGCAACUGGUAAAAUUGAUGGACUUUUUUACCUACAAAACAGUAAUUUCAUAUGUAAUUCAAUGUAUACUACUACAAAAACAAACAUGUCAUUCAUUGAAUCAAAAUUUUCUCAUUCCCUGAGAUGAACAAAAGGGAAAAAUAUGAUAAUUUAUAAGAUCAGAACUCAAAUAGCAACACAGAAAUUUACUAUGAAAAAAUAUUAGUCCCCAUGAGAAUAUGUAAAAGUCAAACAUGAAGCAUACUAUAGAAAAUCUUAAAGAAUCACUACCAAAUCUAAUACCCAACCAGGGUCCUUUUUAUUAGCUCUUUUUUUAAAUUAAAAAGUAAUACACUGGGCUUCGCAGGUGGUGCAGUGGUUGAGAGUCCACCUGCCAAUGCAGGGGACACGGGUUCAUGCCCCGGUCCUGGAAGAUCCCACAUGCCGCGGAGCGGCUGGGCCCGUGAGCCAUGGCCGCUGAGCCUGCGCGUCCAGAGCCUGUGCUCCGCAACGGGAGAGGCCACAACAGUGAGAGGCCCGCGUACCGCAAAAAAAAAAAAAAGUAAUACACUGACAAGUUCAGGUUUCUGGUAACUGACUAUACUGCUGAACUGAAUGAAUAAGCAUUUUCAGAACUCUAAUGGAAAACUGAUGAAUUCAUAAAAGUGCUAACAAAAGAUCAAGAUAAAAAAAUAAUAAUUACAUGGGACUGAGUGAACUGAUGAGGAUGAUUAUAAUUUUUGUGACUUUCUGUUUGAAUUUAAAAAAAAGUUAAAAAAAAAAGUAACUUACUGGUGUCCUAAGAACUAGUGAGGAGUGACAAAACUGACAGAUCAAAGCACCCUUCCCCCACUUCUGACUUUAACUCCUCCACCUUAUUUUGUAAGCACCUAUUUUUCUGAUCAGAUAUUAUCCUGUUUGAAAUGCCUAGAAGAGAUUAUAUUUUCCUUACUGAACCCCAAGUAUAUUAUUACAAUACUUAGCUAAGAGUGAAUUCCCCUCUAUUUUAGUUACAGUAUACACAUUUACUUUAAUAAAAAAUAUUGUAUUCAGAAUUUCAUUAAAGCAACUUUGUAGAUGUAUGGAAUAAAAAAAAAAGUAAUAUAAUGUUCACUGCUACAAUUUCAAAACAAAUAAAGAAACAAAAGCAAAAAAGUGAAAGCCCUUCCUCCUACCAAUCUUACUUCCCUAAAGCAGCCGGGUUAGUAUGUGUUCUUAAAUAUCAAAAUAAAAUAAAUGAGUCUAUACACUAUUUUUAACAUAAAAACAGGAUUACAUUGUACAUACUGUUCUGCAAAAUUUUCUUUCACUUAUAUCACUGAUACUAUUAGAUCUGAUAAUCAAGUUGCUUUAUCACCUGAUAUCUUUGAUUGUGGCUCUCUUCAUGGGAUCCACCUGCAGCAUAUGUUUCAAAAGGCUAAUCACAGAAGGGUUUAAAUACUGAGGGGUAUAAAAGAUCCCAUCACAUAUCUUCUUAAAAAGAGUUGGCACGUGAUCAUCAUCGAAUGGAAGUGUUCCACAUAAUAAAGCAUAGAGAAUAACCCCACUGCUCCAUAUAUCUACCUCUGGACCAGCAUACAAUCUGUAACAGGAAAUAUCAAUUGGAUUAAACAAUCAUUAGUAACUUAAAGAGUAAAUCAAUUAAUCAUUUUAAAUAUAGAUACUUCAUAAAGAAUUAUUAGUCAGAAUAUGGUUUCUAUAAGUCACUGCUGUGUACUACACAUACAGAUUCUAUACUAAUUCUAUCAGUAUUAUCUUUGAAAACAAAAAUUAAGAAUUUUUUUAAGUUACAAACUAUAGCUAAAAUUCUGUCCAUACUACCUCACAAGGGUCCUCAUGAUAUCCAAUCAAUAGGGCCAAACUUUGAACAAACAUAUCAUUACUGAAUUUAAAACCAUUGUUUUUUGGUUACAGAGGAGAGAUUAAGUGAUCUUUCAUCAAGUGAGAAUGUUCUGACUCUAAAGCCACUCUCCGAAAUAACCCUCAUACCUCAUACCUCAUACCAAGGUAAAAGGGGCCUGAGGCUGUAGAAUGAAGCCCAGCUAACUAAUUCGCAGAAGAUUUGAAACUCUUAUUUGCAGUACACUGUAACCCACUGACUUAACUAGCUACUGACUAAUUAGAUAACCCAUUCAAAGUCUGGCUUCAGGGAAGGAUUUCUUUAAAUUGGUCAAAUAAAUUAUUGAACUGAUCAAUAUAUACUAUUUUGAAAGUAAAAGUUUCCAUACAUCUAGACCUCACAGAAGGACCUUAUCCAAACUGGGAAAAUUAAACUUCAGUAAUGGCCCAUUACAUAUAUGCACAAUGACAUUUCUUUUUGUUUAUUUAAUUAACACUGCCCCCAGUAUCCAGAUCCUAAAUUGUUUUCUUCCCCAAAUAGACAACCCACAUGUAAUAAUAAUUUAAACAUUAAGUUAGUAUAAAAAGGUAAUGAUGAACCUUGAUAAAUCUAAAAUUAGAUAUUUCUGCCUUACUCAUAACCAUGCCUUAACACAAAUAUAAUUUCUCUGAGCAGUCUAGGCAAGCAAGCUUAUGAAAAUAGAAAGAAAAUACUACUCUAUUUCUGCAUUCUAAAUUAAUCAGGAUGUAAGACAUUCAAACAAAGAAACAUGGUUUGAAUGAAAAGUUAUUAAAAGUUAAUUAUAAAAACUAGUAAACAAACUUUAGCUUCUUUGUUUUCACUUUCAGUAGUAUACUGAAGAACAGUUACUCUUCAAAAAAUUAAAUUUUCCUGUCAUCUAAACUAUCCGAAAAGCUGCCCUAUACUAAGAUCCUCAUGUUCUCAAUGCUGGUGGUUAGUAAAUUGAGAGAUUAGAAUUCUUAAAAUAUUUCAGUCUCUAGAAGAUUUAAAGAAUGAAAAUUAAAUAAAAUCUGAGGACUUUAUCAAUACUUCAGUCCAAUUCCCCAAGGCACGUUAUCAUAAAAGCUAAAGCUAAUUUGAAAAAUUAAAGCUACCCAUUACACUUUUAAUUCUUCAUCUAAGCAAAUAGUACACUAUUUCUUACUACUAGAUAUUUCUGUAUUAUUCAAGUUUUUAAUGUCUCACCUUUAAAACUUGCUAGUUUUAAACCUUCAGUUUCUUCCACCAGGGGAAAAAACGAGUACUCUCAUCUGACUAAUAUAAUUUUGACUUGCAAACCAACAUCCUCCUCAAUAAAUGGAGUCCUUAAUCCUUAUUCACUUAUAAUGUUUUAUUCUUAAAAUAGAAUACCUUCUGGAUAAGAAAAAAAUAAGCUUUAAAUUCCUUUCAAUAGAAUUGAAUAUUACACUAUAGACUAACAAAGUCUAGGAAAAGAAGACAAUUACAAAUAUAUUGGGCGGGGAGGAGGUGGCAAACACUACCUUCCUGAAAUUACUUCUGGUGCAGCAUAGUUGGGUGAGCCACAACUUGUUCUUAAAAAUUCACCAUCUGACAUCAUGUUUGAAAGACCUGAAAAUGCACAAAAUCCACUGCUCAAGAUUUCCCAAGAACAAAAAUAAAAACAAAACUCCAUUAAACAAUAAAAUUGAGUUUGCAUUAAAGUGAUAAAUCAUCAUUUUGUUCUUUGCUUCAACAGAAUCCUGUAGUCUUUACUGUUCCCAAAUAUUUUGCCUUUAUGCCAUAAAAUCUGCAAUCUGUUUCAACAUAUAAAGUUAGUGCAUUGUUGGAGUUUCAUGAGUACAUAUUAAGUUAUUGGUUAUUUUGUUUAAUAGAAUAAACUGGGCAUGUUUAAGUUUUAUUAAUAUAGAAAUUACUAGAAAAAAAUGUAGAACCGAAUUAAAAGUUUCUAUUAACCUCCAUUCUGAUUCUUUAAAAAAAAAUUAUAGGGCCUCCCUGGUGGCGCAGUGGUUGAGAGUCCGCCUGCCGAUGCAGGGGAC